UGAUAGAGGCGCGGAUGUUAUCAGUAUUCCGGAUCAAGGUCGGUAAGCCGAUCCGUUUGAAAGGAACCUCCGCCGAAGCUUAGAAAUUUUUACCGAUGUUUCUUCGCUGGGGUCAUGCAGAAUAUGCACGGCACUGUCACUGACGUGGAGAGCUAUC
rnacentral:ncRNA from 1 species